UCCAAGGUGAUCUUUUUAUAAAUUAUUCUUUCAUGAGUUUGUCGAUUGUUGUUUCUAAAUUUAUUGAAAUUUUCUUUCUAGCUGAGUUUUUUUCUUCAUUUUGGCAGAUCAUUGACUCAUACAAUCACCCGCUAUACUUGUACCGUAUAUCAAUUAACCAAUGUUCCUAGGGAGACAAUCUGGUGGAGGUCUACUACGCCGCCAAGCCGGGGCUGAUGAUGUCGAGUGUCAAUACCCUCUCUGCGCUACAUCCAGCAGUUUAUCGUCAGCUGAUUCAUUACCUUCACCAUGCACAUCUCCUGCUUUGUUGUAGUUCAUUCACCGCCAUGGCUGUUUCUUCUUCUACAGCUGUAUCAGUUAGUUCACCAUGAAUUCGUCAAUUGGUUCAGUAACCUGAAAAGUUUCAAACGGUGAUGCAGAGUAUAGAUGCCAGCGCGCUGUUCAGACAUGGAAGGCCUAAUAUAUCAUUUGAAUGGUGGAUCAUGUGUCACAAGCAGUGCUGCUGUUGUACAGUCCAUCAUCGUGCGGUUACGUCACAGGCAUGUGGUGCAUGUGAAGCACAUUGAAGAGGAUGAGAUACAAGAGGCAGAUGAUAGUGAGAUGGAUGGGAGGUUUAGUUGAUGUGGCUGUGCCCGUCUAGGGGACUGGUGAGGUGGCAGCACAUAUUGGAGAUAAUACUCUUCUUUCAGGUCGGGCUAGCAGCUCAAUGUACACUCAUUGUCUAAAGUGCAACAAAUAAGAAGUUUUCCCACGGAACUAUUGCCAGCUAAUAUAAUUAAUCUACAACGAGUGAACUCCAGCUAAAGGUCAAACGAGCAAGAGCCCAGAUUGAUGAGCCAAGUAGUUUAUGUGCAAAAUUAUAUUUUGUCUCCAGGCACGCCAUGAAGUCUUGGUCACCCAUCUUCCGCUAUAGCCAGUGUGAAUUGCACGCAGCUAAUGUAAUAUUGAGUGCCUAUGCAUAAUUAUGAAACUGUAAUAUAAUGUAUAACGCUAAGUAGACGUAUGACCAUGACAAGUGCCAUCACGUGAGGUAAU